rnacentral:rRNA from 1 species
AGUGAACGCUGGCGGCGUGCUUAACACAUGCAAGUCGAACGGUAGCAGAUCUUUCGGGAUGCUGACGAGUGGCGAACGGGUGAGUAAUGCAUAGUUAAUUUGCCUCUUGGAGAGGGAUAACAGUUGGAAACGACUGCUAAUACCUCAUACUCCUCUAUGCUUAAUGUGUAGAGGGAAAUGUUAUUUCGCCAAGAGAUAAGACUAUAUGGUAUCAGGUAGUUGGUGGGGUAAUAGCCUACCAAGCCUAUGACGCCUAGCUGGUCUGAGAGGAUGAUCAGCCACACUGGAACUGAGACACGGUCCAGACUCCUACGGGAGGCAGCAGGUGGGAAUAUUGCACAAGUGGAAGGAAACUCU